rfam:Ipomoea nil DNA, scaffold: scaffold2403, cultivar: Tokyo-kokei standard.
GGGAGAAAAGAGUGUCAAAAUAGCCAAGGACACUUGCCUAAACACCAACAAAAAGAUGUUCAAAAUGCCAUGCCAUAUAUGCCAUGGCAAUUCUCAAACAUCUCUAGGCAAGUCAUCCUUGGCUACUCAACAACACUUUUCUCU